UUUCAGCGACCCGAGCCACAGCGGCCGCCGCGGAUCACGGUCUUGUCCGUAGGUGGCGAGCAGGGCGUGUGCUUC
rnacentral:antisense_RNA from 1 species